UAGGGAAUCUUCCGCAAUGGGCGAAAGCCUGACGGAGCAACGCCGCGUGAGUGAAGAAGGUCUUCGGAUCGUAAAACUCUGUUAUUAGGGAAGAACAAAUGUGUAAGUAACUAUGCACGUCUUGACGGUGCCUAAUCAGAAAGCCACGGCUAACUACGUGCCAGCAGCCGCGGUAAUACGUAGGUGGCAAGCGUUAUCCGGAAUUAUUGGGCGUAAAGCGCGCGUAGGCGGUUUUUUAAGUCUGAUGUGAAAGCCCACGGCUCAACCGUGGAGGGUCAUUGGAAACUGGAAAACUUGAGUGCAGAAGAGGAAAGUGGAAUUCCAUGUGUAGCGGUGAAAUGCGCAGAGAUAUGGAGGAACACCAGUGGCGAAGGCGACUUUCUGGUCUGUAACUGACGCUGAUGUGCGAAAGCGUGGGGAUCAAACAGG
rnacentral:rRNA from 1 species